ensembl:lncRNA
AGAAGGAAGACGCAUUUUGGCUUCACAGCAGAAAACAGGCCUUCUCUUGGCCCCACAACCAAACGGUAAGAUCCGCCCAUUCUGGAAGUGAGGAAGUAUUCUUACAAGAGUUUAUGCUCAAAGACUGCUUCCAUCUUCUUUCACUUUGAAAUUUCACUCUGCAACACUGUGUGACACCAAUAACACAAAGCUGCCCGUUUGAGAACUGGUGUCUUGUGGCUGUAUAUUUGCCGAUGGCCUGCUGUGAGAUCUAGUAUCACAUGUUCGUGGGGUGGUCCAUCUCCGACCACAGAGCUGCAUAGUGCAAAGCCUAAGCCUUGUGGGCUUCUGCAGGGUUACAGAUAACUGGCCCCCUGUUUCUGAGGUAGGCCAAUGGUCACACCCCUGGUCUUCAGCAGGAAGUAACACAUCAUUCUCUGUAUAUAACAGCCAGAGAACGGCACACUGACAAAACUAGAACUGUGGGCUUGCAAGUCGUACUUCACAUGUCUAGCAGUCUAAAACAAACGUUUACUGGCACACUUCUCGACCAUAAAAAGGGGAACUGGACUGGUUUAAGACAUAAAGGAAAACCACAGACUCGUUUCACAACUAAGCAUGAUGCUUUGCGCAGUGGAUCAGAGCUUCAUUUUCAUCGAAACUUUCAUCAGAGCAACACAUAUCCAGCUCAGGCGGGUUACUCUAGAAAGACUAGGAUGUUGAGAGUUCUCCUCUGUCUGCUGCUGGCACAUCUAAGGACUCCCGUCUCAUCAAUGAGUCUGACACAGCCCAGGAUCUCUCUCAGUUCUUCUUCAGAGUGUCCACUUGAACCAGAAGUACCCCCAAACUCACAGAGGGCAGGGGUCAACAUGGGACCCCAGAGUUUAGAGGUCACCAAAGGUCACAGCUUUUCCAUGUCCUGCUCCACUGACCCUCAGUACCCAGGAGGCUUCUUCCAGCUCCUCUUUAGCGGGUCGAACACCAGGAACGGGUCUGCAGUCAACCACUCAGCCUGCUUCCCCUUCCCUGAGGCAGAUUACUCCCACCAGGGCAACUACAGCUGUGUGUACAGGCUAAAUCACACCUUUGUCUCCGAUCAGACUGAACCAGUGGUUGUCAUUGUCAAAGCACCCUGGCUCCUCAUCCUUAUCGCUGCAAGUGGGUCGGUCCUCCCGUUCAUCCUGCUUCUCAGCAUCUUUGUCAUAUGGAGGCGUUGCCUUGGUAACAGGCACAGGAAAUCGUCUAUCAAUGAGGGUAGAUAUGCCAUGAACCCUGACGGCGAGGUGAGAUACGCGACGAAUGAGCCAGUAGAGGAUGAUGAGAGAGACUACGAGUCACUGGAUGAUGAAGAUACAGGAGAUUACGUGAACACAGCGACUCUGGGUGGGAGCGAGGAGAAUUUAGAUGAAGAGGAAGACUACGUAAACACAGCAACUCUGGGUGAUGGGGAAGAUGACUAUGAGUGCACAGAGAACUACAGUGAACACAGUGAUGGGGACGACUAUGUGAAUGUGGACCCACUGGGUGCAGGAACGUUCUGAAGAGACAACUGUCUGAAUGUGGAUGUUCUGAAGAGACGACUAUAUGUGCACUUGAAACAUGCAGUGAUGUGGUUUAGUUAAUGAUGUUACCGUAGAGACUCUUUUGGCCUUGCCCACAACUCUUUUGACAUUUCCCUGCCUUCCUGCCAAAAGGCAAAUGGCUCAAAAUUUUAAACCAAGUCUUGUAUUUUGUCCUUAAUUUUAUCAUUUUGACUUGUCUUUCCUUGCAUCUUAUCUUUGGUUACCUGUAGUGUCAUACUGAUGAGAGAGGUACCUUACUGUCUCCUGUAGUGUCAUACUGAUGAGAGAGGUACCUCACCGUCUCCUGACGUGCCCCCACCCUCUCCUGCUUCUGUGGUGGCAGAUAAACUUGAGCAGAGCCAUACUCUGUGUAGAUCUGUUUCUUUGUGUAGUUGGUAAAGUUCAUACCUGUUUAACCUCUACUAGAUAUUUACUUAGGCUUAAAACAGUAGUUUAAAUACCAAAUCACAGAUUGCCUCACAGUUGGAUGCUUUUAAAUGUAAUGUUACAACAUUUUCAUGGCAUGUUACAUUUCUCAUGACACCAAACAAUCCUCUCCUUUACUUCCUUAUCAGGAAAUGUUUAACAGAUUCCACCCAGAAGCAAAUAUGAAUGAAAUGGUGAACUCACAUGAAAUGAGUGGGGCUGUUUUAUUAUGACUCUGUAACAGAGUUAAAAAAUAUUUAAUUCAUUUCAUGCUGUGUGAAUAUACCUGAAACUCUGAAAUGUAUAGAUGAUAGUAAGUGUACAUGGUUGAAGAGUUAUGUCUUUAUUGUUUUCAAUGCAUAGUGGAUACGUUUCCUUUUGGAUGUUUAUCUUUUUUAUUUAGUUUUCAAUCAAGAGGCUGUUUUGCUAAUAUUUGUUAAAUAUGUUUUAUUUAUUUAUGUUUAAAAAAAUAAUAAUAACUACCUGUGGGUAUGAAAUCUGCUUGGUUGAUGUGCAUAGUGUAACUGCUACUGCUAGUGUAAUCCCUACUUUGGCUUGACGACCCAAGAUUUAAUUGUUUAAUAGAAGGACCCAAUAGCUAUUCUCUCAUGACACUUAACUUAAUAGGGUUUGGUUGUGUUUUUAUUCGAGUCACUGCAGUCUGGUGUUAGUUCUGCCCCUUUGUAUCUUUGUUUAAACAUGAAAAUGCUUCCACACUUACUAUGAUGACAUAACUCUGAAGGCUUGAUAAAUAAACGCUGUUACCAAAUAUUACUGACCA